rnacentral:rRNA from 1 species
CCGAAUGGGGAAACCCAGUGUGAUUCGUCACACUAUCAUUAACUGAAUCCAUAGGUUAAUGAGGCGAACCGGGGGAACUGAAACAUCUAAGUACCCCGAGGAAAAGAAAUCAACCGAGAUUCCCCCAGUAGCGGCGAGCGAACGGGGAGGAGCCCAGAGCCUGAAUCAGCAUGUGUGUUAGUGGAAGCGUCUGGAAAGGCGCGCGAUACAGGGUGACAGCCCCGUACACAAAAGCGCAUGUGCUGUGAGCUCGAUGAGUAGGGCGGGACACGUGGUAUCCUGUCUGAAUAUGGGGGGACCAUCCUCCAAGGCUAAAUACUCCUGACUGACCGAUAGUGAACCAGUACCGUGAGGGAAAGGCGAAAAGAACCCCGGCGAGGGGAGUGAAAAAGAACCUGAAACCGUGUACGUACAAGCAGUGGGAGCACAGGUUUACCUGUGUGACUGCGUACCUUUUGUAUAAUGGGUCAGCGACUUAUAUUCUGUAGCAAGGUUAACCGAAUAGGGGAGCCGGAGGGAAACCGAGUCUUAAUUGGGCGUUAAGUUGCAGGGUAUAGACCCGAAACCCGGUGAUCUAGCCAUGGGCAGGUUGAAGGUUGGGUAACACUAACUGGAGGACCGAACCGACUAAUGUUGAAAAAUUAGCGGAUGACCUGUGGCUGGGGGUGAAAGGCCAAUCAAACCGGGAGAUAGCUGGUUCUCCCCGAAAGCUAUUUAGGUAGCGCCUCGUGAAUUCAUCUCCGGGGGUAGAGCACUGUUUCGGCUAGGGGGCCAUCCCGGCUUACCAACCCGAUGCAAACUGCGAAUACCGGAGAAUGUUAUCACGGGAGACACACGGCGGGUGCUAACGUCCGUCGUGAAGAGGGAAACAACCCAGACCGCCAGCUAAGGUCCCAAAGUCAUGGUUAAGUGGGAAACGAUGUGGGAAGGCCCAGACAGCCAGGAUGUUGGCUUAGAAGCAGCCAUCAUUUAAAGAAAGCGUAAUAGCUCACUGGUCGAGUCGGCCUGCGCGGAAGAUGUAACGGGGCUAAACCAUGCACCGAAGCUGCGGCAGCGAACGUAUCACUUAAAGCGAUUCAGCGGGUUACGAUUGACGGAGCGAAGCGACGUCAAAGCGUAUACAAAGUCGAGUCGGUUUAAGGAUACGUU